rnacentral:rRNA from 1 species
GCGGGUGAAAAGCCCGCUCGCCGGAAGACCAAGGGUUCCUGUCCAACGUUAAUCGGGGCAGGGUGAGUCGACCCCUAAGGCGAGGCCGAAAGGCGUAGUCGAUGGGAAACAGGUUAAUAUUCCUGUACUUGGUGUUACUGCGAAGGGGGGACGGAGAAGGCUAUGUUAGCCGGGCGACGGUUGUCCCGGUUUAAGCAUGUAGGCGGAACGAUUAGGUAAAUCCGGUCGUUUAUUAACGCUGAGGUGUGAUGACGAGGCACUACGGUGCUGAAGUAACAAAUGCCCUGCUUCCAGGAAAAGCCUCUAAGCAUCAGGUAACAUCAAAUCGUACCCCAAACCGACACAGGUGGUCAGGUAGAGAAUACCAAGGCGCUUGAGAGAACUCGGGUGAAGGAACUAGGCAAAAUGGUGCCGUAACUUCGGGAGAAGGCACGCUGAUAUGUAGGUGAAGCCCCUGCGGGUGGAGCUGAAAUCAGUCGAAGAUACCAGCUGGCUGCAACUGUUUAUUAAAAACACAGCACUGUGCAAACACGAAAGUGGACGUAUACGGUGUGACGCCUGCCCGGUGCCGGAAG